AAGCGGAGGAAAAGAAACCAACAGGGAUUGCCCUAGUAACGGCGAGUGAAGCGGCAACAGCUCAAAUUUGAAAUCUGGCUCUAGGGUCCGAAUUGUAAUUCGUAGAGGAUGCUUUUGGCGCGGUCACUUCCGAGUUCCCUGGAACGGGACGCCUUAGAGGGUGAGAGCCCCGUACGGUUGGAUANCAAGCCUCUGUAAAGCUCCUUCGACGAGUCGAGUAGUUCGGGAAUGCUGCUCUAAAUGGGAGGUAANUUUCUUCUNAAGCUAAAUNCCGGCCAGAGNCCNGAUAGCGCACAAGUAGAGUGAUCGAAAGAUGAAAAGCACUUUGAANAGAGGGUUAAAUAGCACGUGAAAUUGNUGAAAGGGAAGCGNUUUNCGGNCAGACCUUUUCCCAGCGGNUCAUNCAGUGNUUCUCACUGGUGCACUCUGCUGGGUUUAGNCCAGCAUCGGCUUCUGUAGGGGGAUAAAAGCCNNGGGAAAGUAGNUCCCUCGGGANUGUUNAUNNNNCUAGGCNUNANNCNNUNNCGGGGGCCGAGGNNCGCNCUCUGCAAGGANGCUGGCGUAAUGGUCGUCANCGACCCGUCUUGAAACACGGACCANGGAGUCGAACAUUUGUGCGAGUGUUUGGNUGUUAAACCCUCACGCGUAAUGAAAGUGAACGGAGGUGAGAGCCCUUUACGGGGUGCAUCAUCGACCGAUCCUGAUGUCUUNGGAUGGAUUUGAGUAGGAGCAUUAAUGUUCGGACCCGAAAGAUGGUGANCUAUGCGUGGAUAGGGUGAAGCCAGAGGAAACUCUGGUGGAGGCUCGCAGCGGNUCUGACGUGCAAAUCGAUCGUCAAAUCNGCGCAUGGGGGCGAAAGACUUAUCGAACCAUCUAGUAGCUGGUUACCGCCGAAGUUUCCCUCAGGAUAGCAGUGUUGUUCUUCAGUUUUAUGAGGUAAAGCGAAUGAUUAGGGACUCGGGGGCGCUUAUUAGCCUUCAUCCAUUCUCAAACUUUAAAUAUGUAAGAAGCCCUUGUUGCUUAGUUGAACGUGGGCAUUCGAAUGUACCAACACUAGUGGGCCAUUUUUGGUAAGCAGAACUGNCGAUGCGGGAUGAACCGAACGCGGGGUUAAGGUGCCGGAGUGGACGCUCAUCAGACACCACAAAAGGUGUUAAUACAUCCAGACAGCCGGACGGUGGCCAUGGAAGUCGGAAUCCGCUAAGGACUGUGUAACAACUCACCGGCCGAAUGUAUUAGCCCUGAAAAUGGAUGNNGCUCAAGCGUCCCACCCAUACCUCGNCCUCAGGGNAGAAACGAUGCCCUGAGGAGUAGGCGGCCGUGGAGGUUAGUG
rnacentral:rRNA from 1 species